UUAAGUUUAUAUUGAAAACUAUUUGCAAAUACCUAACUUACUACCUGCUAGCCACGGCUCACCACUUUCCCUUAAAAUUCAAACGAUUUACAAACACAUUCACAACUUUUUAGUCAUCUCACCCACACACUUACAAAUUUUUUGUUCGAACUGUCAAAAAAAUGUCCCUUUGUUAGAGCUACAUAUCCUAUAAGAAUUCGUACUCUAAUAAGAAAUCUAUGCGUGACCAAGUUAGAAAAAUCGGAGUUUUCAUGACAGUAUACAUACUGUGAAGAAAUGUCACUUUGCGGAAAUUUUGAAGAUUGCAAAACAGCAGCGACUUAGUCACAUUCUUAAGACUUGGGAUUCACCAUCAGUACCUUCAACGCUUGCAUCUUCAUCGCCAGGAGCACCAUUAGAACCUUCUGCCCUCAGCUUCUUCAUCGCCAGGAGCACCACCAGUACCUUCU